rnacentral:rRNA from 1 species
UACGGAGGGUGCAAACGUUGCUCGGAAUCAUUGGGCGUAAAGCGCACGUAGGUGGCGUGUUAAGUCGGGUGUGAAAUCCCUGGACUCAACCCAGGAAGUGCACUCGAAACUGGCACGCUUGAGUACUGAAGAGGGUCGCGGAAUUCCCGGUGUAGAGGUGAAAUUCGUAGAUAUCGGGAGGAACACCAGUGGCGAAGGCGGCGACCUGGGCAGAUACUGACACUGAGGUGCGAAAGCGUGGGGAGCAAACAGG